rfam:Schistosoma curassoni strain Dakar, Senegal genome assembly, scaffold: SCTD_scaffold0015608
AUCCAUCUGACGAGUCCCAAAUAGGACGAAACGAGUGUCCUGAAU